rnacentral:tRNA from 1 species
GGCGCUAUCGUCUAGUGGUUAGGACACCAGGUUUUCAUCCUGGGAACCGGAGUCCGAUUCUCCGUAGCGCUA